GUCUUUUAGAUAAUAAUUAAAAGUCAAAUCUGCUCAAUGAUAAAUAAUUUAAAUAGCUGCAGUAUUUUGACUGUACAAAGGUAGCAUAAUCAAUAGUUUUUUAAUUGAAAGCUGGAAUGAAUGAUUAAAUGAGAUAUUAACUAUUUUAAAUUAAAUUAUAUAAUUUUUUUUAUUAAUAAAAAAAUUAAUAUGAAUUUAAAAGACGAGAAGACCCUAUAGAUUUUUAUUUUUUAAUUUAAUUAAUUAAAUUUAAAUUAAUUUAAUUAAUAAGUUAAAAAAUUUAAUUGGGAUGAUUUUUAAAUUUAAAUAACUUUAAAAUUUAUAAAACAUAAAUAUUUGAAUAAUUGAUCUAAAUUAAAGAUUAUUAGAUUAAAAUACCUUAGGGAUAACAGCGUAAUAUUAUUGGAGAGAUCAUAUUGAUAAUAAAGAUUGC
rnacentral:rRNA from 1 species